rnacentral:hammerhead_ribozyme from 1 species
AUCCUGGUGACGAGCGCCAAAUGGGACGAAACGCACGUCCUGGAU